rnacentral:rRNA from 1 species
AUGGGCGAGGAGGAACAAGGACAAGAUGGUAUAGCAGUGGAUGAUCCGGAGAAGAAGGCGUCGGCUGCGAGCGGCAGGCUACAGCUGCCGUCGUCGUCGUCGUUGAGGGAGGCGCUCUCCUCGACCUCCUCCCUGUCCCUCAGAGAGCAGCACCACGACGAGGAGGUGGAGCUCAAGUGGGCGGCCAUCGAGCGGCGGCCCACCUGGGACAGGCUCCACACCUCGCUCCCUCUCCAUGCCAGCCCCAAUGCCGACGGCGCCCGUCCGCUGGAGCCGGUGGACGUGUGCCGGCUGGGGGCGGCGGACCGGCGGGAGCUGGUGCACACCCUCAUCGCCGACAUCCACAAGGACAACCUCCGCCUGCUCCGCCACCAGCGCCGCAGGAUGGACAGGGUCGGCGUGCGGCAGCCCACGGUGGAGGUGCGGUGGCGGAACCUGCGCGUCCAGGCCGAGUGCCAGGUCGUCGAUGGCAAGCCGCUCCCCACGCUCCUCAACUCCGCCAUCUCCACGCUCUCCCUGCUCACCACCAUGCUCGGCUUCAACCGUAACCAAGAAAGGAUCCACAUCCUCAAAGAUGUCACCGGCAUCCUCAAACCUUCCAGGAUGACCCUUCUCCUUGGACCCCUAGGCUGUGGAAAAACCACCCUUUUGCUAGCACUUGCUGGAAGGCUUAACAAAAAUCUCAAGGUAACAGGAGAAAUUGACUACAAUGGUGUCAAGCUGCAAGAUUUUGUUCCAGAGAAGACAUCAGCUUACAUUGGCCAGUAUGAUCUUCAUGUCCCUGAGAUGACUGUCAGGGAGACGCUCGACUUCUCUGCAAGAUUCCAGGGUGUUGGCAGCAGAGCAGAAAUCAUGAAGGAAGUCAUUAGGAGGGAGAAGGAGGCUGGGAUCACCCCUGACCCCAACAUAGAUACAUACAUGAAGGCAAUAUCUGUGGAAGGUUUAGAAAGAAGCAUGCAAACAGACUACAUUAUGAAGAUAAUGGGACUUGACAUAUGCGCUGAUGUACUAGUAGGAGAUGCCAUGAGAAGAGGCAUUUCAGGCGGUGAGAAGAAAAGACUAACCACAGGAGAGAUGAUAGUAGGACCAUCAAAAGCGCUCUUCAUGGAUGAAAUAUCAACUGGUUUCUUUGAAUCAUGUGGCUUUAAAUGCCCCGAAAGAAAAGGGAGCGCUGACUUCCUUCAAGAGGUCCUGUCAAAAAAAGAUCAGCAACAAUACUGGAGCCACACCGAAGAAGGAUAUAAUUUUGUUACAGUUGAUCAAUUCUGUGAUAAGUUUAAAGCAUCUCAAAGUGGUCAGAAUCUUGCUGCGGAGCUUUCGAAGCCGUAUGACGAAUCUAAAGGACAUAAGAAUGCGCUGUCCUUCAGUAUCUACUCAUUAUCCAAGUGGGAUCUACUCAAGGCAUGUUUUGCACGGGAGCUCCUUCUUAUGAAAAGGAAUGCCUUCAUCUACAUAUCAAAAUCCAUUCAGCUUGGAUUACUUGCUGUUAUUACUGGGACAGUAUUUCUGCGCACACGUAUGGGUGUUGACAGAAUUCAUGCUAACUAUUAUAUGGGUUCACUCUUCUAUGCACUCCUGCUGCUGAUGGUGAAUGGAUUCCCUGAGCUGGCCAUGGCAAUUAACAGACUGCCAGUCUUCUACAAACAGAGAGAUGACUACUUCUAUCCUGCAUGGGCUUAUGCAAUACCAUCUUUUAUCCUAAAGAUUCCAGUCUCUUUAGUUGAGUCAAUAGCUUGGACAACAAUAUCCUACUACCUGAUUGGCUAUACCCCGGAAGCAUCCAGGUUCUUCUGUCAACUCCUCGUCCUCUUCCUCAUCCACACAGUAACAUUAUCAAUGUUUCGAUGUGUGGCCUCAUACUGUCAAACAAUGGUGGCUGGUUCAGUCGGUGGUACAAUGGCAUUUCUAGCGACCCUUCUGUUUGGGGGUUUCAUAAUUCCUCGCUCAUUUAUGCCUAAUUGGCUAAAGUGGGGAUUUUGGCUUUCUCCAUUGUCAUAUGGUGAAAUAGGCUUAACUGGAAAUGAGUUUUUGGCACAAAGAUGGUUGGAGAUCAAGAUAUCUGGUGUAGCACUUGGAAGGAGGAUCCUAAUGGAUCAAGGGCUAGACUUCUCCAGCUAUUUUUACUGGAUCUCAAUUGGAGCAUUGCUUGGGUUUACUUUGUUGUUCAAUGUAGGCUUCGCCAUAGGCUUGACCAUUAAAAAGGUUCCAGGAACUUCUCGAGCUAUUAUCUCUCGCAAUAAGCUUACCAGAUUUGAUGGAGGAGACCAAGAUAACAACAUGGAAAAUAUGAUGCCUAAGUUACAAGCAGAGACUGUUUUGUCACCAAAUAGGACCGGGAGGAUGGUAUUGCCUUUCAUGCCCCUUAUAAUAUCAUUCCAGGAUGUCAACUACUAUGUAGACACCCCUGCGGAAAUGAGGGAGCAUGGUUACAUGGAAAAGAAACUACAGCUACUCCACAAUAUCACAGGAGCGUUCCAGCCAGGGGUUCUCUCGGCACUCAUGGGGGUUACUGGAGCGGGAAAAACAACACUCCUUGAUGUUCUUUCUGGAAGGAAAACUGGUGGUGUUAUUGAAGGGGAUGUAAGAAUAGGAGGCUAUCCUAAAAUUCAGCAGACUUUUGCUAGGAUAUCAGGCUACUGUGAACAAACUGAUGUCCAUUCCCCACAGAUCACAGUGGGUGAAUCGGUUGCAUAUUCAGCCUGGUUGCGCCUUCCACCAGAAGUUGAUGCAAAAGCAAGAAAUGAUUUUGUGAACGAAGUUCUUGAAACAAUUGAGUUGAACGAAAUUAGAGAUUCUUUGGUCGGAAUACCAGGGGUAAAUGGACUAUCAACAGAGCAAAGGAAACGGCUCACGAUUGCAGUCGAGCUCGUGUCUAACCCCUCAAUCAUAUUUAUGGACGAGCCAACAUCAGGCUUGGAUGCAAGGGCAGCUGCUAUUGUCAUGUGUGCAGUGAAGAAUGUUGCAGACACAGGUCAAACGGUUGUGUGCACCAUUCACCAACCAAGUAUCGAUAUAUUUGAGGCAUUUGAUGAGUUGAUGCUGAUGAAAAGGGGUGGAGAGUUGAUCUAUGCUGGGCCAGUUGGACACCAUUCAUGUGAAGUUAUCCAGUAUUUCCAGGCAAUACCUGGGGUUCCCAGGAUCAAGGACAAGUACAACCCAUCAACAUGGAUGCUAGAAGUUACUUCUACAUCUAUGGAACUUCAACUGGGAGUAGAUUUUGCACAAAUGUACAGGGAAUCAUCAAUGUGCAAGGACAAGGACAUGCUGGUGAAGCGCUUGAGCAUACCAGUUCCUGGUACAAGUGACCUCCAUUUCCCAACCCAGUUUCCGCAGAAGUUUCGGGAGCAAUUCAAAGCUUGCUUCUGGAAGCAGUGUUUGUCGUAUUGGAGAACUCCUUCUUACAACCUGGUGCGGAUGGUAUUCAUAACAGUGGCCUGCAUUUUCUUUGGUGUGUUAUUCUGGCAGAAAGGCAACUUCAACCGCAUAAACGACCAGCAAGGUCUCAUCACCAUAUUGGGGUGCAUGUAUGGAACCACUCUGUUCAGUGGCAUCAACAACUGCCAAUCAGUGAUGCCUUUUGUCUCCAUUGAACGCUCCGUCGUGUACAGGGAGAGGUUCGCAGGGAUGUACUCUCCUUGGGCCUACUCCUUUGCGCAGGUUGCCAUGGAGAUACCUUAUGUGCUGGUGCAGGUAGUGAUCUUCAUGUUGAUAGCAUAUCCGAUGAUAGGGUACGAGUGGACAGCAGCAAAGUUCUUUUGGUUCAUGUACACCAUGUUGUGCACGCUGUUCUACUUCCUCUACCUGGGAAUGAUGAUUGUGUCGCUCACCCCCAACAUCCAAGUCGCAUCCAUACUUGCAUCCAUGUUCUACACCCUACAGAACCUCAUGUCCGGCUUCAUCGUGCCUGCGCCUCAAAUACCAAAAUGGUGGAUAUGGCUCUACUACAUCUCCCCAAUGUCAUGGACGCUCAAUGUCUUCUUCACCACGCAGUUUGGAGAUCACGAUGACAUGAUGAUCGAUGUAUUUGGAGAGACCAAAUCCGUCGCAGCAUUUAUGAGGGACUACUUUGGUUUUCGCCGUGACCUACUGCCACUGGCAGCAGUGGCCCUGGCAGCAUUCCCUGUCCUCUUUGCCGUCCUCUUUGGUUACAACAUCUCAAAGCUCAACUUUCAAAGGCGAUAG